GACGGAGGGUGCUAGCGUUGUUCGGAAUGACUGGGCGUAAAGGGUGCGUAGGCGGUUUUGUAAGUCAGAUGUGAAAUCCCCGGGCUUAACCCUGGAAUGGCAUAUGAUACUGUGAGACUAGAGACUGGAAGAGGAAAGCGGAAUUCCUAGUGUAGAGGUGAAAUUCGUAGAUAUUAGGAGGAACACCAGAGGCGAAGGCGGCUUUCUGGUCCAGAUCUGACGCUGAGUCACGAAAGCGUGGGGUGCAAACAGG
rnacentral:rRNA from 1 species